UUUUAAAAAUUUAUGCUAAUCAAAUUCUUACUGCUCUGGUUAACGGAGUAGUGCAAAAUAAUGCUCCUUCUGAUGUUCGCAUUGCAGCUAUUAAAGCGCUUACAAAUUCAUUGACUUUUAUUGAACAGAAUUUUAUGAAUGAGACUGAGCGGGAUUAUAUAAUGCAAACUGUUUGCGAGGCCACGCAAGUUAAAGAUGAUGAUAAUUUAGUGGAAGCGGCU